GAGUUAUGUCGUUUUGUUUAUUUUAUGUAUUACAUUUGUGGGAGUUAAGCUAAACGUUGUAAUAAACAGCAAAAAUGGAAUCCACAAUAAUUUUGUACAAACUGAAAAAAUUCAUGGCGUUUUUGAAGAAAAUAAUAAAGAAUUAAUUGCACCUAAAUUCCUUCAUGAUCUAACUCGGGUACGAAGGCGAGUACGUAAGCCUCAGGAUGAUGAAGAAGGUUCUGAUGAUGAUGAUGAUGGAGGUUUUAUGUCUCUUAAUAAUCAACCCCAAGGCGACCACCAUUUCAUUGCUAAUGAUUUAAAGUGUCCUACUGGUGAAGUCAAGUCUCCAUGGGGAAAAUGCAUCACAUGUGCGGAAUAUAAAGAGAAAAAGUUGAGCAAACCUGGCGAUAAGAAAUGCAAGACGUGAACUCUGAAAGUCAGACGCUGCCGUAAAACUUAAUUAUAGGAACUAAAUUAAUAUUAUAUAAGACACAAGUUUGUGACAAGUCUCCCUUUAUCGCAUCCCCUCGAUUCAAGAUCACUGAUCAAGCCACCGCCUCCAUCUUUAUCAAGCGCAGAUUAGGCUUCACAUGAACUACUGUUUUUACCUCUGGGCGGGCGCUCCCCAUCAUUAUCAUCAGCCGGAAGUCGUCCACUGCUGGACAAAGGCCUCUUCCAGAUUUCCACGACGAUCGGUCCUGCACAGCCCUCAUCCAACGUAUUUUGGCAAUCUUGAACAGAUCGUUGGUCCAUCUGAUGAGCGGCCUACCAACACUGCGUCUUCCGGUACGUUGUCGCCAUUCGAGGGCUUUACUGCCCCAACGGCCAUCUGUCCGUUGAACUAUGUACCCAUAGCUAAACUUCAGUUUUGCAAUCAUUUGGACUAUGUCGGUAGCUUUGGUUCUCCUACGGAUCUCCUCAUUUCCGAUUCGAUCGCGUAGGGAAACUCCAGAAACUCCCCAGUACCCGAUUAUUCAAUUUGACCGUAUACAACGAUGAGCGGCGCGAAACAUUGAUGAUCAAUUAGGCUUAAUUCUUUGGCGCUGCCUAUAGAUAUGGAUUCUCUCUUCAUCUUCUACUGAAAAUAUCACGGUACCUUCAGGAGUUGCUUGAGUUGAUACCAGCAGCUUGAUUCCACCGCUAGACAUUAUGUCAAAACGCAAAUUGGCACCCACAUCAGGUUAUACUUAUGGUAUUUAACAACCGCAUAUUUUGCCCUUCUCUACUCGCACAUCCACUUUUUAGAAUCAAUUACCGGCUGCAGUUUUCACGAACAGAUGCGACUCAGGAACCUUCAAGCAUCCCUAUGCUUAUGAACUUAAAGGCCGGCAACGCAUCUCUUGACCCCUUGUUAUGCCCAUGUCCAUGGGUGGUAUGUCCAUGGACUUACCACUCACUUCCCAUCAUAUCAACCUCUUGACCAUUUGCCCUCUUAUAUAAUAAAUAAAUGUUUUGAAACCUUAAAA